GUCAGUCUAAACCAAGACACGUAGCCCCUCCUGGCUGACUCCCAGCUUCAUGCAAGCUGGCAGCUCCACUGGGUGCUGGUUUGGAGGGCACCUGCUGGACAAGCCACACUGACAGAAUUGGGAACUGCCUACAAAACUGCACCUAAGCCAGGGACCAAAAUCCAGGAGUGCUGAACUCUACUCUUUGAGGGAAAAGAAGAGUGACAAAUGAUUUUCAGCCCAAACUGACUCAAUGGGAUGUCUGGACUGAACCAUAGGCAAGAACCUCUCCUCCCAAGCAGAGAGGAUUCCUGGGAGAAGCUCAUGCUGGAAUGCAGAAGGGAGAGGGCAAACCCAAGACACUGAGGCAUCAGAUACACCAGAGGUGGCUCUUUGGUUGACUCCUGCAGAUAGAUUAUGCAAGCAUGUUCAGCAUAUGGAGCAGAACAGAUCCAAACUCUGUUCAAUCAAAUGCAAAGUGCCUUCAUGUGCUGCUGCUUCAGAGUGUGAGCUCCCAGAGAAGGCAACGCACUGAACUGUAUUAUGAACUGAGAGUAUGAAAACACCCAGGUAGUCUUGGAAAAAUGGUUAAUCAGUAAGUAUUCACUGGAGUUGGCAGGCAAGCACACUUUAUGAAUGCUUGUUUCAUAAAUAUUUAUUUUAAGAAUUGAAUUUUGGGAGUUUUCAGACAAAAGAAACCAUAAAACAGUGAAGAGAAACUUCGAGACUGAAAUUCUUGUGUGUGUGAUUUGUUUUUUUGCUUUAUAUUUCUUAUAACCUCUUUUCUUCUUUUUCAUUUUGAAAGAACUGCAGAAACUAAAAGCUACAAAAAGCAGUCUCAGGCAGA